UUCGCAAUGCCCGAAAGGGUGACGAAGCGACGCCGCGUGCGGGAAGAAGGCCUUCGGGUUGUAAACCGCUGUCGGGAGUUAAGAAAUGCAAGGGUGUUAACAGCAUCCUUGCUUGACUAAGGCUCCGGAGGAAGCCACGGCUAACUCUGUGCCAGCAGCCGCGGUAAUACAGAGGCGGCAAGCGUUGUUCGGAAUUAUUGGGCGUAAAGAGCACGUAGGCGGCUGUGUAAGUCGGUUGUGAAAGCCUUCCGCUCAACGGGAGAACGGCAUCCGAUACUGCAUGGCUUGAGUGCGGGAGGGGAGAGUGGAACUUCUGGUGGAGCGGCGAAAUGCGUAGAUAUCAGAAGGAACACCGGCGGCGAAGGCGACUCUCUGGCCCGUAACUGACGCUGAGUGUGCGAAAGCUAGGGGAGCAAACGGGAUUAGAUACCCCGGUAGUCCUAGCCGUAAACGAUGGGCACUAAGUAGAGGGGUUUU
rnacentral:rRNA from 1 species